UAGGAAAAAAUGUGUUUAAAGUAAUAGAAAUCAACUGCUAUUAACAUCACUGAAACUGGCUAAGUUAAAAUUACAAACAUAUCACAUAUUUAUUAAGUUUUUUUUUGAAGAAUAGGUAUGUUGCUAAAAACACAGGCAUUAAUAGUAUACUGAAUAUUCUUAUUUGCAUACACUAAGUUGUUCAAAAGGUUAGAAAUAUCGCUGUCCUGAAUCAUUGUUUAAAAUGAUCCCAUACUUAAGAACGUAGCUAAAGUUUUAGUGAUGGGUCUAAGUUUUUAAAAAUUCACUAUUUUAAAGUUCAUCUUUUAAAGUCGUCUAUAAGAUCACUAUAUCUUAUUAAAUCAUCAUGUAAUUCAAUACUACAGAAGCCCUAUGAUUGCUGGUGAGUCAAGACUUUUGUGAGUCAAAUGAGAUGAUGUGUAUUAAAAACUGUUUUACAACAGUAGAUCCUAGACCAGCAGAAGGGAAGGGAAAUUAACAUUAUUAAGCUCCUUCUUUGAUAGCAGUGAUAUUCUGUGUUAGCAAAUAUUUUUUUCAUUUAAUCCUCUUAUUGCCCUGUAAGACAAAACAUGAUUAUCAUUUCUGUGUGUGUUGCUUGGGAUAGAACCCAGCACUUGCGAGGCAAGUUCUGUACCAUUGAGACACACCCAGCUCCUAUUAUCCCUAUUUUUACUGAUGACUAAACCAGGUCUCUUAAAAGUGAAGUAACUGACCCACAACCCACAGCCAACAAAUGACAAAGUCAGGUUUCAAACCCAUGGCUGACUAUUCCCAAAGUCUUCUCUCUGAUGUCCUCCCUUUUAGAGCUACAGAAUUAUCACUAUUUACAAGGGGAGAAGUUAUCUUUUUUUUUUAAGCACUUGAUUAACCAAACAUCACUUACAAGGCAAUAGUUUGCCCAAUUGUUCUCACUUUUUUCCUGACAUUUUAGGAUAAAAAAAAAACUUAUAUGUAAGUAUCAUUUCCAAGAACAUUUUAAAAGCGGUAAGUAGUAAAUGAGAUUGCACUCACAGGAAUUUUAAAAUGUGAUAAAGUUUCAGCAAUUUAAACAGCGUGGUGCUGGUUAAAUAAUAGAUCAAAGGAAUAAGUAGAUCAAAGUAUAUAAAUAUGAAGAAAUAAACAUUAGUAUUCCACUUCCAAUUGGAAGAGUAGAAUACUGAGGAAAGUGACUUUAUUUGGAAAAAGAGAAAAAUUGCAUUGCAUCAAAUAUAUCCAAAGGGGUUAAAGAAUAAAAUGUAAAAGAAAAUCACAAAAACGCUUUAAAAGUAUAUACACAUAAUUUUACAAUUGUGAAGGAAAUUCUAAGACUGGUAAUUAAAAUAAAAUCAUAAAGGAAGAGAAUAAUAAAUUGACUAAAUAUUUUUAAUUUCUCUUUGUUAAAAUCUACAACUAUAGGGAUGCACACCUGUAGUUCCAGCUACUCAAGAAGCUGAGGCAGGAGUAUUAUGAGGGCAGGAGUUGGAGGCCAGCCUUGGUAACAUAGACAGAUCCUAUCUCAAAAAAAAGAAAGAAAAGAAAAGAAAAUAGCCAAAGAAGUUAAACAACAUCCAUGAAAGCAUUGGGAAAAUUUUAUUUUGCUUUUUGCUGAGCUAUUUGUCUUAUCAUGCUGACAUUUCACCUGUGCUUGGAAGAAAAGCUAAAAGCAAACCAGGUGGGAAGAAAGAGAAAGAGAAACAAGUGGACCCACACUUAAGGGAGCAAGCUUAGCAAAACCAGGUCUGAAAAAAAACAACACAGGAGAGAGAGCAUCAAACAUUCAGCCAUCCAGGACGGCCAUUUCCAAGGACCAAGGACUGGAGACCCCCUCACCUCUACAAAGUACAUCUUUCAAUGAAAGUUUUAGAAACAGGGUCUUUUCAGAUGUAGUCAAGUUAAGGUGAGGUCACUAAGGUGAACCUGAUCCAGUGUAACUGGUCUUAUGAAAAGAAGAAAUGGAGACAUAAACAUAGAAAUGCACAAAAAGAAGAUUAUGUGAAGAUUGGAGUUUAUACUUUUACAAACCAAAGAAUGGAAAUUGGAAAAGGAAAGGAAAGAUCCCUUUCCUACAGGUUUCAGAGGGAGCAUGACUCAACAGCUUGAUUUUAGAAUUCUAAACUUCAAAACUGUAAUAAAACUUCUGUUGUUGUAAACCA